UACGUAGGGGGCAAGCGUUGUCCGGAUUCAUUGGGCGUAAAGAGCGUGUAGGCGGCCAGGUAGGUCGGUUGUGAAAACUGGAGGCUCAACCUUCAGAGGUCGACCGAAACCAUCUGGCUAGAGUCCGGGAGAGGAGAGUGGAAUUCCUGGUGUAGCGGUGAAAUGCGCAGAUAUCGGAAGGAACAUCAGUGGCGAAAGCGGCUUCCUGGACCAGCACCGACGUUCAGGCACGAAAGCGUGGGGAGCAAACAGG
rnacentral:rRNA from 1 species